rnacentral:lncRNA from 1 species
CGAAGUAAUUUCAUGCCAAAUCGGUAGUAAGAAAGGGAUUGUGCUUGACCAAGGAAUCAUUUCAAAAUUUGAGUCGUAUUGAUACACUAUUCUAAUGGAGGACGAAUAAAGAAGAAAGGAUGAUAAAGUUUGAGAUAGAAUGAUAGACCUACACACGUGUAUUUUCGUGUUGGUGAUGGCUAUGUACAUUAAAUUAACUAUUAGUCACAAUCAUCUAGCCAAAUUGUCCAAGACACGUAAUAACUGAUCUAAAAUUCUCUAGCAAAAUCUAUGGUUACGGUGUUCUGACAUCAUAUAAAAUAAUAGACUACGGAACUUUCAUAUUAUUAAUUCACAGAAAAUAAGAAACCUCUUUCAGAGAUGUGUAUAGGGAGUUGGUAUUGGUCAGCUUUCAGGUGGCCGGAGUUCGAUUUUUCUCUGCCUUCGUCAAUUCUUCGUUGGCCGGAAAUCAAUUUCUCCUCCUUCACAUCACGGUGGAGCAGCCCGAGCUUCCGGUGGCUCGAUAUAUCUGUCGUGGAUAACGUUCUGUGGACUUU